rnacentral:lncRNA from 1 species
CUGAGCAUCCUCAUCUCCGCAACCUUCAUUCUCUGAACAUGAGAGUUCUUCACUGGCCAGCACUCCGCCCCAUACAACAUGGCAGGUCUAACCACGGCUCUAUAAAAUUUCUCCUUGAGUUUCUGUGGGACUUUCUUGUCACCCAGGACUCCUGAUGCAAGCCUCCACUUUGACCACCCAUCAGGACUUCUCCUCCGCACUUGCCCAAACCACCUCAGCCUCGCUUCUCGCAUCUUCUCAUCAAUCGGGGCCACCCCCACCUUCUCUCGGAUAACUUCAUUCUUAAUCUUAUCUAACCUGGUGAGCCCGAACAUCCACCUGAGCAUCNNNNNNNGGCCAGCACUCCGCCCCAUACAACAUUGCAGGUCUAACCACAGCUCUAUAAAAUUUCUCCUUGAGUUUCUGUGGGACUUUCUUGUCACCCAGGACUCCUGAUGCAAGCCUCCACUUUGACCACCCAUCAGGACUUCUCCUCCGCACUUGCCCAAACCACCUCAGCCUCGCUUCUCGCAUCUUCUCAUCCACUGGGACCACCCCCACCUUCUCUCGAAUAUCUUCAUUCUUAAUCUUAUCUAACCUGGUGAGCCAGCACAUAAACCUGAGCAUACUCAUCUCCGCAACCUUCAGCCUCUGAACAUGAGAGUUCUUCACUGGCCAGCCCUCCGCCCCAAACAACAUGGCAGGUCUAACCACAGCUCUAUAAAAUUUUCCCUUGAGUUUCUGUGGGACUUUCUUGUCACCCAGGAAUCCUGAUGCAAGCCUCCACUUUGACCACCUCGCUCCUAUACGAUGAGUGACGU